AUUGAACGCUGGCGGCAGGCCUAACACAUGCAAGUCGAGCGGAUGAAGGGAGCUUGCUCCUGGAUUCAGCGGCGGACGGGUGAGUAAUGCCUAGGAAUCUGCCUGGCAGUGGGGGAUAACGUCCGGAAACGGGCGCUAAUACCGCAUACGUCCUGAGGGAGAAAGUGGGGGAUCUUCGGACCUCACGCUAUCAGAUGAGCCUAGGCCGGAUUAGCUAGUUGGUUGGGUAAAGGCCUACCAAGGCGACGAUCCGUAACUGGCCUGAGAGGAUGAUCAGUCACACUGGAACUGAGACACGGUCCAGACUCCUACGGGAGGCAGCAGUGGGGAAUAUUGGGCAAUGGGCGAAAGCCUGGUCCAGCCAUGCCGCGUGUGUGAAGGAGGUCUUCGGAUUGUAAAGCACUUUAAGUUGGGAGAAAGGGCAGUAAGUUAAUACCUUGCUGUUUUGACGUUACCAGCAGAAUAAGCACCGGCUAACUACGUG
rnacentral:rRNA from 1 species